rnacentral:rRNA from 1 species
GACGAACGCUGGCGGCGCGCCUAGCACAUGCAAGUCGAACGAGCGAGAGAGAGCUUGCUUUCUCGAGCGAGUGGCGAACGGGUGAGUAACGCGUGAGGAACCUGCCUCAAAGAGGGGGACAACAGUUGGAAACGACUGCUAAUACCGCAUAAGCCCACGGUGCCGCAUGGCACAGAGGGAAAAGGAGCAAUCCGCUUUGAGAUGGCCUCGCGUCCGAUUAGCUAGUUGGUGAGGUAAUGGCCCACCAAGGCGACGAUCGGUAGCCGGACUGAGAGGUUGAACGGCCACAUUGGGACUGAGACACGGCCCAGACUCCUACGGGAGGCAGCAGUGGGGAAUAUUGCACAAUGGGGGAAACCCUGAUGCAGCGACGCCGCGUGGAGGAAGAAGGUCUUCGGAUUGUAAACUCCUGUUGUUGGGGAAGAUAAUGACGGUACCCAACAAGGAAGUGACGGCUAACUACGUG